rfam:Schistosoma mansoni strain Puerto Rico chromosome W, complete genome
AUCCAGCUGACGAGUCGCAAUUAAGAGGAAACGUGCGUACUGGAU